AACUCGAUCGGCAACGAAUUUAAAACACAGCUAACUGCAGCUAGAUCAAAUUAAGAAAUUAAUUACCUCUCCCCUUUUGAUCUAGCUAGUAGCCAGUGUGAGCUAGCUAGCUAGAUUGGUGUAUAGUACAGUACAGUACAAGCAUGGACAGCAACCAGAAGAGCCUGCAACCACCACCGGGCUACCCUAGGGUGGAUAAUUCAGACAACGGCCGUGGCUCACCGCGCCGCGGGCGAACGACAGCACGCGGGAGAAAGACCAGAUUCAUCGAUGGAUGCAUCGCCGCACUCUGCUGCUGCUGGCUAUGUGAAAUUUGCUGCGAUUAGAGGAAGGGAAGAAGCAGAUGCAAAUGCAGAUGCCUUCGUUAUAUCCGUGUGCUGAUAAGAGUUUCUGUCAGUUCAUCAAAGUAUAUACCGAAAUGCUGUAACACAAAUUAUACCUAUGAUUCCAUAUGUUCUCGACAAUGGAAUGGUGAUGUAUUAUGCGUGCAGUAUAUGUACUUCAGUAUUAGUCAUUGUUUUGAUCUGUACCAAUUUUUUUCCUCAUUUGAUCCAUCUAUAUAUAUUGAUCAUCUAAUAUUUACUAAGUGUGUUCUUUCGAAUCUCCAUGUGUAGGGUACAUAUAUAUGUAGCUUUACUACUAAUAGUGUGAGCGAUUUGCUUGA